GACAUUUCCCUGUUUUAGCUCUAGAACUGCCCAACCAUGCCAAGCAGCUGUAUGUCUUUUGUCAGCAACUGUGGCAGCAUCAAACAGUUCUCUUGCUCUCCUUAUAUUACCCAUCUUAUUUUCCAAAACAGCCCAGCACUGCCAAAUGUAGGCAUUUUCACCAAGAGUUGCCUGGCAGCCCUUCUCGNNNNNNNNCUAUUUUUGAUUGCUUGUUCAAUAUCUUCCCCAAAGCCACAUAUGGCCUCCCAUCUUCCGGCCAAUAACUGAUACACUUUUCUAGUAUCUCUUGAGCUUCUGGAUAUCUGUAAUUCCUAGCUAAAACCUUGGCCUUGUACAGUGCCAAAUCCAAAUUCACUGUGAGAGGCUUGUCUUGAGAAGAACCAACUACCUGCACUCUCUCCGGUUCAAAAAUUGGCAUCUUCUUGGCAAACUCCUCGAGACCAGCAUCGAUGAUCGCUGAAGAUUUCUUCUCACCAUCAUCAACAUUAUUAUCACUACCUUGACUGGAGUCUUCAGUACCAG
rnacentral:misc_RNA from 1 species